CAGAUGUCGUGACCAUAUGACUGAUUUUCAUGUCGCUUGGACUCACAGAUUACCAACAAAAGUCUUUUAAAGGAGACGUUGGAAAAACCAAAUGAGUGGUAUUCUUGGAUCCUCUCUUAUUUAGAGAUCUGCAAUUAUUAGAAUUCUGAAGAAACCAGAUUCAGUUAGUUGGAGGAAAAAGAAGGAAGUUAUGUACACAAGCAUGAAGAUUUUUCAGUUAUUAGUGGUCAUGAGUUUCCAAAUUAGGUGUAGUGAAUGUUUUUAUGAUAAAUAUAUUCAUAAAAAAGCGAUUUUCAUGUUCCCAUGCUUUAAUAUGUAGAGCAACUAGUGACUGCCUUAUAUGGAGAUCAGAGUGAAAAUUCCUGAAUCACAUAUUAAAUUCAAACAUCUAUUAGCAGAACCUCAAGCAGAGGAAAGAGGAAUACAUGUUACAUGUGUCCCAUAACUGAAAAGAAAAAUUGCAGUACUUGUCAUAUAUCUGAAGUAUAUAAACUCAUGCAUACAAACAAAACUGUUUACACUUUGAAAAACACUUAGUGCCAAAUGCAUUUUAACCUCAUGAGGUCAUCAUCAGUGGCAAAAACAUGAAUUCAUUAGUCUGUUACUUAGCUUAAUGUCCACUGGCCUAAGUUGAGGUUUCCGUUGUUGGACAACGGUGAGCUGUGGUUGCAUUGUGUGUGUCUGAAUUGUGUACUUCAAUGUUGUGUGGGUAUUACUGUACAGUAAACAGUUUUGUUUGUAUGCAUGAUUUUAUAUAUUUCAGAUAAAUAUUCAACGCUGCAUGCUUAGAGUGCAUCAUCACUGCAGUGACAGUAUGUAAAUGUCAACUUGAUACUGCCAUGAAAUUAAAAUAUGAAUGCCUUGGGACUUUGAGAAAUUCAGUACUUAAGGAUCACAAUUUUGUUAAUUUUAUAACAGUUUCAAUAGUGUAUUUUCCUUAUGUGUAACAAACCUUUCUUGAGUAUGUAAAAAAACAACUUGUUUGCGAGUACAAUUUUAAAAUUUCUAAUUUAUUAAAACAGUUAUGUUAAGAUUAUACCUGAAAUAAACACAUCUCCUUGUAUAUAUACUUCUUUCCUGAACUUUACCAAUGCACAGACUAUGUAUAAUACACAAGGACUAAGGUCAUUGUCCUAAUUGCUAUAUUUUUAAGAAAUACACUGGUCUCAGAUGGGACAUUUGUAAAGCUAUCCUCCAACUCUUCGUUGACCAAGAGGCUUCAAUAUAAAAAUGUACUAUGACUUUAUUCCAUGGUGACUGUUGAAUACUUUAAUAAUUUCUGACCAGUGCAAAUUACACACCAUAUCAAAUCAUAUUAGUCUUUUCAAAUAUUUGCAGUUUUUCUAGCAACACAGUAGAAAAAUUUACAUUAGCACUCAUGUAGGAGAACCUGAACAUUAACCCUACUUGCCACCACCAAGUUGUUCAAUCCAUCCAUACCGAUAAACUGAUACCAAAGUAAAGUGGAGCAUGUUACACAUCUGUGUUGCAUGUCAGCAACACUGACAUACUCAAAUCAGUUUAUUUUGCCUACUUUCACUCCAUAAUGAAGCAUGGAAUAAUUUUGGGGGGCAAUUCAUCUAAUAGUAAAAAAUAUUUACUUUAAAAAAGAAAAAUUUUAAAUUAAUGGCUGAUUUCAAACCUAGGAUUUCAUGCAGAAGUCUAUUCAAGAGAUUAGAGAUCUUAUCCCAGAAGACAGCCGUUGUUGUACUUAAUGCAAUGAAAACCUCAAAUUCUACAAAAAGAUAAUUACACACUCUUACUCUGCUGACGAAUUUCUGUUGUUCACAAGGAAGCGAAUGUUCAUUAAGGUUUGCUUGUCUUCAUAUAAUAUAAAUGGGUCAUAUAAUUUAUCUACUAUAUGUAAUGGGUGGAUUUAUUUGUAACAUAUCACUAAUAAUGUGAAAUCUUGAUAAUAGUAUUAAUUCUACUUGUAAUAUAUGUAUAUUCUAUUAUUAUGACUUACUCCAUGUCCUGUCAUCAUCCAACUAGCUUAUGGAUCCAUUGAUUGAAAUGGACGUAUGUAUACCCAAAAUCCAUCUUUGUUAAUCUUCCACAUUCUCAGUCUUACAAGCUGCCACUUCCCCACAUUAUGUAUGUGUACCUGGUGUCUCCUACAACCUUCAUCCUCAGUUCAUCAUAACACAUUUUAUUUUACUACCCUAAAUAUUAUAUUAGAAUUGUGUAAUGUAUUUUUGCCAUCUUGAAACCAAGUAAGAAUUAGCAUUUCAUAUGA